AGGUGAUAUGAACCGUUAUAACCGGCGAUUUCCGAAUGGGGAAACCCAGUGUGUUUCGACACACUAUCAUUAACUGAAUCCAUAGGUUAAUGAGGCGAACCGGGGGAACUGAAACAUCUAAGUACCCCGAGGAAAAGAAAUCAACCGAGAUUCCCCCAGUAGCGGCGAGCGAACGGGGAGGAGCCCAGAGCCUGAAUCAGUGUGUGUGUUAGUGGAAGCGUCUGGAAAGGCGCGCGAUACAGGGUGACAGCCCCGUACACAAAAAUGCACAUAUUGUGAGCUCGAUGAGUAGGGCGGGACACGUGGUAUCCUGUCUGAAUAUGGGGGGACCAUCCUCCAAGGCUAAAUACUCCUGACUGACCGAUAGUGAACCAGUACCGUGAGGGAAAGGCGAAAAGAACCCCGGCGAGGGGAGUGAAAAAGAACCUGAAACCGUGUACGUACAAGCAGUGGGAGCCUCUUAAUGGGGUGACUGCGUACCUUUUGUAUAAUGGGUCAGCGACUUAUAUUCUGUAGCAAGGUUAACCGAAUAGGGGAGCCGAAGGGAAACCGAGUCUUAACUGGGCGUUAAGUUGCAGGGUAUAGACCCGAAACCCGGUGAUCUAGCCAUGGGCAGGUUGAAGGUUGGGUAACACUAACUGGAGGACCGAACCGACUAAUGUUGAAAAAUUAGCGGAUGACUUGUGGCUGGGGGUGAAAGGCCAAUCAAACCGGGAGAUAGCUGGUUCUCCCCGAAAGCUAUUUAGGUAGCGCCUCGUGAAUUCAUCUCCGGGGGUAGAGCACUGUUUCGGCAAGGGGGUCAUCCCGACUUACCAACCCGAUGCAAACUGCGAAUACCGGAGAAUGUUAUCACGGGAGACACACGGCGGGUGCUAACGUCCGUCGUGAAGAGGGAAACAACCCAGACCGCCAGCUAAGGUCCCAAAGUCAUGGUUAAGUGGGAAACGAUGUGGGAAGGCCCAGACAGCCAGGAUGUUGGCUUAGAAGCAGCCAUCAUUUAAAGAAAGCGUAAUAGCUCACUGGUCGAGUCGGCCUGCGCGGAAGAUGUAACGGGGCUAAACCAUGCACCGAAGCUGCGGCAGCGACACUAUGUGUUGUUGGGUAGGGGAGCGUUCUGUAAGCCUGUGAAGGUNNNNNNNNNNNNNNNNNNNNNNNNNNNNNNNNNNNNNNNNNNNNNNNNNNNNNNNNNNNNNNNNNNNNNNNNNNNNNNNNNNNNNNNNNNNNNNNNNNGCGACAAAUGCCCUGCUUCCAGGAAAAGCCUCUAAGCAUCAGGUAACAUCAAAUCGUACCCCAAACCGACACAGGUGGUCAGGUAGAGAAUACCAAGGCGCUUGAGAGAACUCGGGUGAAGGAACUAGGCAAAAUGGUGCCGUAACUUCGGGAGAAGGCACGCUGAUAUGUAGGUGAAGCGACUUGCUCGUGGAGCUGAAAUCAGUCGAAGAUACCAGCUGGCUGCAACUGUUUAUUAAAAACACAGCACUGUGCAAACACGAAAGUGGACGUAUACGGUGUGACGCCUGCCCGGUGCCGGAAGGUUAAUUGAUGGGGUUAGCGGUAACGCGAAGCUCUUGAUCGAAGCCCCGGUAAACGGCGGCCGUAACUAUAACGGUCCUAAGGUAGCGAAAUUCCUUGUCGGGUAAGUUCCGACCUGCACGAAUGGCGUAAUGAUGGCCAGGCUGUCUCCACCCGAGACUCAGUGAAAUUGAACUCGCUGUGAAGAUGCAGUGUACCCGCGGCAAGACGGAAAGACCCCGUGAACCUUUACUAUAGCUUGACACUGAACAUUGAGCCUUGAUGUGUAGGAUAGGUGGGAGGCUUUGAAGUGUGGACGCCAGUCUGCAUGGAGCCGACCUUGAAAUACCACCCUUUAAUGUUUGAUGUUCUAACGUUGGCCCGUAAUCCGGGUUGCGGACAGUGUCUGGUGGGUAGUUUGACUGGGGCGGUCUCCUCCUAAAGAGUAACGGAGGAGCACGAAGGUUGGCUAAUCCUGGUCGGACAUCAGGAGGUUAGUGCAAUGGCAUAAGCCAGCUUGACUGCGAGCGUGACGGCGCGAGCAGGUGCGAAAGCAGGUCAUAGUGAUCCGGUGGUUCUGAAUGGAAGGGCCAUCGCUCAACGGAUAAAAGGUACUCCGGGGAUAACAGGCUGAUACCGCCCAAGAGUUCAUAUCGACGGCGGUGUUUGGCACCUCGAUGUCGGCUCAUCACAUCCUGGGGCUGAAGUAGGUCCCAAGGGUAUGGCUGUUCGCCAUUUAAAGUGGUACGCGAGCUGGGUUUAGAACGUCGUGAGACAGUUCGGUCCCUAUCUGCCGUGGGCGCUGGAGAACUGAGGGGGGCUGCUCCUAGUACGAGAGGACCGGAGUGGACGCAUCACUGGUGUUCGGGUUGUCAUGCCAAUGGCACUGCCCGGUAGCUAAAUGCGGAAGAGAUAAGUGCUGAAAGCAUCUAAGCACGAAACUUGCCCCGAGAUGAGUUCUCCCUGACUCCUUGAGAGUCCUGAAGGAACGUUGAAGACGACGACGUUGAUAGGCCGGGUGUGUAAGCGCAGCGAUGCGUUGAGCUAACCGGUACUAAUGAACCGUGAGGCUUAACCUUACAACGCCGAAG
rnacentral:rRNA from 1 species